rnacentral:rRNA from 1 species
AUUAGGAAUCUUGCGCAAUGGGCGAAAGCCUGACGCAGCGACGUCGCGUGAAGGAUGAAAUCUUUCGGGAUGUAAACUUCUUUUACCAGGGAAGAAAGAAAUGACGGUACCUGGUGAAUAAGCCCCGGCUAACUACGUGCCAGCAGCCGCGGUAAUACGUAGGGGGCGAGCGUUGUCCGAAGUUACUGGGCGUAAAGAGCGCGUAGGCGGGUUUUUAAGUGAGGGGUGAAAUUCCGAGGCUCAACCUCGGAACUGCCUUUCAUACUGGGAACCUUGAGUGCGGGAGAGGCGAGUGGAAUGGUCGGUGUAGCGGUGAAAUGCGUAGAUAUCGAUCGGAACACCCAUGGCGAAGGCAGCUCGCUGGCCUGUAACUGACGCUGAGGCGCGAAAGCGUGGGGAGCAAACAG